UACGUAGGGUGCGAGCGUUAAUCGGAAUUACUGGGCGUAAAGCGUGCGCAGGCGGUUCGUUAAGUCAGAUGUGAAAGCCCCGAGCUCAACUUGGGAACUGCAUUUGUGACUGCACGGCUAGAGUGUGUCAGAGGGGGGUAGAAUUCCACGUGUAGCAGUGAAAUGCGUAGAGAUGUGGAGGAAUACCGAUGGCGAAGGCAGCCCCCUGGGAUAACACUGACGCUCAUGCACGAAAGCGUGGGGAGCAAACAGG
rnacentral:rRNA from 1 species